rnacentral:rRNA from 1 species
UACGAACCGUCCAAACGUUAUUCGGAAUCACUGGGCUUAAAGGGUGCGUAGGCGGUCCGGUAAGUUGGGUGUGAAAUCCCACGGCUCAACCGUGGAAUAGCGCUCAAGACUGCCGGACUUGAGGGAGAUAGAGGUGAGCGGAACUUCGGGUGGAGCGGUGAAAUGCGUUGAUAUCCGAAGGAACACCGGUGGCGAAAGCGGCUCACUGGGUCUUUUCUGACGCUGAGGCACGAAAGCUAGGGGAGCGAACGGG